rnacentral:rRNA from 1 species
CCAAUAGCGUAUAUUAAAGUUGUUGCAGUUAAAAAGCUCGUAGUUGAAUUUCGGGGUCAGUAGGUUGGUCAUGCCUCCGGUAUGUACUGGUCUCACUGAUUCCUCCUUCCUGAUGAGCCGUAAUGCCAUUAAUUGGGUGUUGCGGGGAAUCUGGACUGUUACUUUGAAAAAAUUAGAGUGUUUAAAGCAAGCUAACGCUUGAAUACAUUAGCAUGGAAUAAUGGAAUAGGACGUUCGAUCCUAUUUUGUUGGUUUCUAGGAUUGACGUAAUGAUUAAUAGGGAUAGUUGGGGGCAUUAGUAUUCAAUUGUCAGAGGUGAAAUUCUUGGAUUUAUUGAAGACUAACUACUGCGAAAGCAUUUGCCAAGGAUGUUUUCAUUAAUCAAGAACGAAAGUUAGGGGAUCGAAGACGAUCAGAUACCGUCGUAGUCUUAACCAUAAACUAUGCCGACUAGGGAUCGGAUGAUGUUAAUUUUUUAAUGACUCAUUCGGCGCCUUACG